rnacentral:rRNA from 2 species
UUUGGGCUUAGUUGGCUGUGGAGCACAUGAAAGCUCCACCGUUAAGUGUGCUCAGGUGGGAGUAGUACUAGGAUGGGUGACCUCCUAGGAAGUUUCCACCGAGGCAACAA